rnacentral:rRNA from 1 species
CCUACGGGGGGCAGCAGUCGAGAAUCAUUCACAAUGGGGGAAACUCUGAUGGUGCGACGCCGCGUGGGGGAAUGAAGCUCUUCGGAUUGUAAACUCCUGUCAUGUGGGAGCAAAUCAAAAUGCUAGUAUUCCACUAGGAAGAGACUGCUAACUCUGUUCCAGCAGCCGCGGUAAUACAGAGGUCUCAAGCGUUGUUCGGAAUCACUGGGCGUAAUGGGUGCGUAGGCUGUUUCGUAAGUCGUGUGUGAAAGGCGCGGGCUCAACCCGCGGACGGCACAUGAUACUGCGAGACUAGAGAGAUGAUGGGGGAGCCGGAAUUCACGGUGUAGCAGUGAAAUGCGUAGAUAGC